rnacentral:rRNA from 1 species
GACGAACCGUGCGAACGUUGUUCGGAAUCACUGGGCUUAAAGGGCGCGUAGGCGGGUGCUCAAGUCCGGGGUGAAAUCCCACAGCUCAACUGUGGAAUUGGCCUCGGACUACUGGGUGUCGUCGAGGGUGGUAGGGGUAUGCGGAACUAUCGGUGGAGCGGUGAAAUGCGCAGAUAUCAGGAGGAACACCGGUGGCGAAGGCGGGUCUCUGGGCCGAUACUGACGCUGAGGAGCGAAAGCGUGGGGAGCGAACAGG